CUAAACAAACCCUAAUGACGACAACGUUCAUAUGAUCCAACCGGUCGAUGUAUAAUCGAUUGUUGGAAGAAAUUGAUUGCCUCAUGUAGAAGAUCGAAUGGAUGGAUGAAAACUUUUUCCUCAAAACACGCGUAUCCUAAAUCUCAAUCUGCUCACCAAUCUAAUCUCUUCUCCUCACUCUCUGUUCACUCAAUGAUCCGUCAACAUUCACACACACAACCUAACCUAACGGAAACUAUCACACAAUAGGAGGAAAAAUCUUGAACAACGACAACAAGCAAAUUGUGCGCUAUGGUGGAAGAGAUAAGAGAUGAGUUCCGAAGUGGAUUCGUUGAGCAGAGUCGCCGAGUUGGAAAUAUUAUUCGGUGACACUUCUAUGUUAACGGCGUUGCUAGAGGGGAAGUCUUCCUCCAGAGGAGUUCUGUAGGCAAAGUUUUGUGAUAGCAAAAGCAUCAGAAGUAGGUAGGUUCUGGGAACGAAAUGUGAAAGAUCCUAGCCGUAGCAGUAGCAGUAUUAAGUGUUUUGUUGAACCGCUCACUAACAAUUGGACAUUUAUAAAGUCAUUUGGAUCAUGUGAUAUGGUAUACCUUGGUUUUUCUUAUAGCCAAAUGGGAGACUGAUACUCAGUCAUAUAAUUAACGGACAACCAUCAUACUCAUAGUUUCUACUAUUAUGUAGGUUCUGGUUGAUUCAUAACUUGUGAAAUCUAAUGCUUUGUAUGCUUGGCUUUGUGAUGUACAUAUUAGAGCUAAAAGCUUUAACUGAAUAGGAAACCACUUGAAAGUCUCUAUAAGAGGAGUAAACCUAGCUGUCGUAUAAGAGGAGUACACCUGGCUGGCUUAACAUAUGAUCUUUGGAUGUAAGAAUAUAGUAAUAG
rnacentral:lncRNA from 1 species